UUUUUCUUUUUUCUCCCCUCUUGCUUUGCUGUCCUCUGCCUUUGAAGACGACUGUGCUAAUGCAGCCGACUCUCCACGUGUGGGUGUGGCUGAGAAGAUGAAAGAGUCUAGAGGCCGCAUUUCCUUUCCUUCGUGGACUUGGAAGUUCUUAACCCCUGUUGACAUAAGGCAAUUGAAGAAAAUGCAAGAGGGCCUUUGAAACAUUCCAUCAGGGGCUUGCAGAGGACGUCUGGCAAAGUCUUCACUCAUGACCUGGGAAUGAUACUAAGUGUCUGUAUGACCAAGUAAGGCCAAGCAUAUCUGAAGGCAUUAGAAGAAGAAAGAUGCCCAAUGCCCAGUAUGAGGAAUUUAUAUUGUCCAGGUAUCUUAACAUUAUAAUCACAGGAAUCUAUUACUAUUACUAGAGGAUUUAUCCCAUUUGGUGUCAGAUACAGAUUUUUUACUUGAAAGCUCCCUGUGGAUUUAUAUACUUG
rnacentral:lncRNA from 12 species